UACAGAGGGGGCAAGCGUUGUUCGGAAUUACUGGGCGUAAAGGGCGCGUAGGCGGCCCGGUAAGUCAAAGGUGAAAUCCCUCGGCUCAACUGAGGAACUGCCUUUGAAACUGUCGGGCUUGAGGCCGGGAGGGGGUAGCGGAAUUCCCAGUGUAGCGGUGAAAUGCGUAGAUAUUGGGAGGAACACCGGUGGCGAAGGCGGCUACCUGGACCGGUUCUGACGCUGAUGCGCGAAAGCCAGGGGAGCAAACGGG
rnacentral:rRNA from 1 species